UACGUAGGGUGCGAGCGUUAAUCGGAAUACUGGGCGUAAAGCGUGCGCAGGCGGUGAUGUAAGACAGGUGUGAAAUCCCCCGGGCUUAACCUGGGAACUGCAUUUGUGACUGCAUCGCUGGAGUGCGGCAGAGGGGGGAUGGAAUUCCGCGUGUAGCAGUGAAAUGCGUAGAUAUGCGGAGGAACACCGGUGGCGAAGGCGGCUACCUGGACAGAAACUGACGCUGAGGCACGAAAGCUAGGGGGAGCAAACAGG
rnacentral:rRNA from 1 species